rnacentral:tRNA from 1 species
GGCUGGGUGGCAGAGUGGUCAUGCGGCGGCCUGCAAAGCCGUUUACGUCGGUUCGAUUCCGGCCCUAGCCUCCA